CUUGGGGUCGUAGUGGCCAAGAGCGGGCCACCGACAGCCUGGGGAUCCUACGUCUACAGAGAAGCUCUGGCUGCCUUGGACUCUCCAUUUGCAGCCAGAGGCUUUCCGGUCACUUGGAGCCGUGAGCGAUGAUGCAAUGCUGAUCAACAGACUACAUGAGGACUUGAAAGAUGGAGAUGACCUCAAGCUGAAGUACCAUUUGGAUUGCAGAACUGAGCUGUACCAACAUUCGAAAAGUGACAAGAUGCGCAGGACCAACGAUCAGACAGGAUGAAAAGACUCAGGGUAGCCUACUGUCUGGGCCAAGUACUUCAAGUGCUGGCAGCUCCACAUCCCAAACCCCACCAGCACACCUGGUCUACCGUGAUGUUUGUAUCCUCUGCAAUAAGGGCAUCAAUGUUGGAAUGCUGGAAAAAUACCCUGACAGAGCCCGGAAGUUGUAUGGUGCACCUGACAAUCGCUUCCAGGACAGACGGAAAAGGAAUUUGAUGGAGACAGCUGUGAGACAAGGAGAUGCCUGGGGAGUUGAAAUUGCUGGUCGCCUAUCCUGAAUAAUAGAUUUGGUAGCUGAAGAGGCACUGUAUCAUCUUCGGUGCAGGUCCCAGUUCUAGAGCCCAGUUACCUAAUUUUUUUCAAGACUAGAAGCCAAUCAUUUAAAUUAAAAGUUGUAUUUUCCCCCCCUCAGGUCUGACGGCCUAUAGAUGGAGACAGUUGUUGUUUGAGAAACUGUGCAAAUGGAUGAAGUAGUGGAGUGUCACAAGGUCGGUUCGUUCGCCGCUCACAGGCCUCGAACCCGCCACCUUGACACACACACCGGCAUGGGAGACGAACGCUCUAACCACUGAGCUAAAAGCCCAGGCUUCCAACUCAGCGGUUAGAAACGUUCUUAAGGUUAGGGCUGUGAGGAUUUACACAGGCAACUAGCACGCUAGCUCAGUCUGCCUCCGUUACAGGAGCAUGGUGUAACAAGUCUCAGAGAUGAUGAUCCACAUGAAGAUGGUAGAGCUUGAUCCCACGGAGGACAAAAGUCUCACAUAUGGACGGCUGUAUCUGAAAAAAAGCUUCAGGAACAUUAUGAGGAAUCUCUCUACUUCACAUCAGAUGAGAGAAGAGGAGACACUACAAAUGCAAUCCUCUGAGACUACUGUCAACAGGUCAACAACCCCUUACAAACCAUUGAUGAUGCUGCACUUAAAAGAGCUCGCAAUUUCCACUGCCAUUCAUCUAAUCUGUGGAGACUUGACAAGAGUUCCACUUGACAUGAAGCAGUACCCCUCAGUAGACAGCAUGAGCAAUGGGGGACUGAGGGAGAUGCAGGGGAGUUGGAUGAGGUUU